UCAGGGCUGGGGGUUCCUUCAGGGCUGGUGAGGCUGUGAGGAGAGUCCCUCAGCUCCCAGCGUGAGAAGCAUUGUGGGGAUGUCACACUGCAAGGGGGGACCCCCGCAAGGCUGGGAGAGCCCUUCAGGGCUGGUGGGCUGUGCGAGAGUCUCUCACGGCAUGACGGGCGCUGUGGGGGUCUCACAGAGUGAGGGACACUCUGGAGGGGUCCCCACAAGCCUGGGAACCCUGAUGGCGGGAGGACUGUGGUGGCAGGUGGUGCCCAGGUGCUGCUGACAGGCUCCAGCCUUCCUGCCUGUCCUCCCUCCUGCAUCCAGCAAGGAUCCCGAGACCUUCUUGUCCUGCCUGUGGAUCCCCAGCGUUUCAGGGACCGUCACAUCCACCCUGGCCGGUGCAGCCCCAUUUCUCCCGCUCUGAGGCAGUGCCUGAGUUGUGCUCCCUGUGGUUCUUGCUGGGGUUCUGCCUUGUGAGCUGGUGAGGACAGCAAGGACGAAGCUGCCCUGGCUCUGGGAUUCUUAGGGUGGCUGGUAUUGCUCCUGUGAGUUAUUUACUAAAGUUGAGGUCCGUGUUGUUCUUUUUUCCCAGCAGUUUUGCCCACAUGAUGUCCCUUCCUGCUCAAAAAACAUUGGGGUGUUUACAAAAAAUUUUACCGGUGUGGUGAUAAUGACUUAAUACUGACAGGCUAAUGCCCCCUUACCCAGACAAUUUGGAGCCUGAAGGGGCUGGAAAUGGUUCAGAUGGUAUUAAGGAUUCACAGAGAUGCUGAGAAGCACUUUAGAUAAGCUGUUCUGUUGCUGUGUGCGUGUUAAAAUCCAAACAUUGACCAGUUUCUGACCUCUUGUUGCCUUUGCAUGAGUCUGAUGGACCGAGUGCGUUGAUACCGUGAUAUGAUAACUUUAAAGUGCCUGGGUUUCUUGUGCUGCAAGCCUCACAUGUGUCUGAAGAAGAUUAAGUAACUUUGUUUCCUGAGAGGAGUGUCACAUGCAGCAUUGCCUGAAGUGUGGGUUCCAACAUCUGCCUCUGGAUGAGCUGUUUUCCUGUUCAGUGUAACAAAGUCAUCUCAAAUCUGUGCCGGAAUAUUUGGCAUCCAUGGAUUCAUCUGGAAGUGAGUUCUAUUUGUUUAAAGGCCACAGUGCCACAGAGCAGGAAGUGCAUCGCUCUGCCCAUGCAUUGCUUUCCUCAGGGAACACUUUUUGACAGGUUGGAUGCUUUGUAAAUCCAGACAAAGAGAUGAAGAAUUCAAGUUUGGACACUUAAUUUGAAAACUGACUUCUCUGCUCAUAAAAACAAUAUACUUAAAAUCAUCCAACAUCCUCCAUUACACUGUCCCAUCAACACAUCUCCAUUUCCAACGUGAAGAGAAGCUUUCCUUUUCCCUAUCCCAUGUGCACCCCACCUUCUGGGCCUGGAUUUGAUGGAAUUGAGCACGUCACUGAACGUGGGAAAGACUUCUUUCUCUUUCCCCCCGUGAUCCGGUGCCUCCGCAUCGUGCGUAAGGCGGGAGCGCUCGGGGCUGGGGUUCGUGCACGUCUCUCAGUGCUUCUAUUAUGGGCACGAGGAAGUCAUUAUGCUGCAGGUCUGCUCUGUGUAGGCACUUAGUGGGAAGUGAUGUGUUCUGGAUUGUGUUGGUGGGGAGUGGAGGAUAUGCUGGGGAGUGCUGCUGACACGCAGAUGAUGCCUGGAAAAGGUUGGCGUGGAAGCGUUGGAGCUUGUGAUGAGAAGAAGCUGCCAAACAAGUGGGGAGCCUCAGAGUUGAGAGCAGAGCCUAAAUAUAUAGAGCAAUGCUGUGAGCCUCUUUCUGAGGGGUCUGGAAAGUCUAAGCAGAGCAGUCCUGAAUUCCCUACCAGAACCUUUCUGUUUACAGGGCAACUUCUGCAGGUCUGCAAGUAAAAUAGGUUGGAAACCUUUGAUAUAAGUGCAGUAGUGACAUCAAAGCUGUGAUGUGUGACCAGAAGGUGGGCAGAAGUCAGGACUGUAUGAUCUUAUCUUCCUCAUUUAGAGGCAUCUCUCCUGGGAAGACCUUGGUGCUUCUAAAUGAAUCUGCCGCCUACCUUGUGUACCAUCAUUUUAAUGUGGGGAUUGAGGAGGAGCCAGCUAUUGGAAAAGCAGCCAGAGAUGGAUGCCCUGGAAAGGUGCCACUAAUUACUGUGGCAUCUGACUAUUAGCUGUUAAGCCUUUCCUUGCAAAGUUCUCAACAGUGCAUCCUGAAACAAAAACAAGGACCUGGAGAAAGGGGAGAGCUGUCCUUGUACUGAUCUUGUGGGGUGGUUGUUAAAAGCAGAAGGUGGAGCUGAUUCUGACGUGGUUCCCUUCCAGAAGAGCAGGUCAUAUUUGAUAGACCCAGAAGGAUUUUGGGUUUUUUUGCUGCUGGGCUCUGUGAUAGUCCACAAACUUCUUACACUCCUUACCCUUAAAACAGGUUCGAGGCUGCCGUUCUUCACGGGGAAAGCUGUAAAUUAGUAACAUCUUCAAAGUGUCACUGUUGAUGUGAAUCUGAGAAUUUUUAACAAAAAUCAAGAUGCAAUAAAAAAAUAUUCAAAGAAA